CCCAACCCCUCCUCCUACACCAGUGACAGCUUUUCACACUGAAAGGCAGUGCUAUUGUAUAACAAACGCUUAACUCUUAGCCCAGCCGGGCUCGCUGGCUACUUUUGCAAGCUCUUUACCAACUAGCGAUGCUUGUAAGCGGUGCUUGUAACUCCUAGCUUGUACCACGCUGCCACUAGCUGCGCUAUCAGCUAGCGGCGUUCAAAGCAGCUCCUCAAACCGCGGCUUGUGCCCGCGCGCCCGCUGCGCUAUCAGCUGGGCUGCGCCUAAAGCACCUUUGCAAGCCCCGACUUAAGCCCCGCGCCGCGCUCCCCUCGCUCGCCAGGGACAGCCCGUGCCACGCAUGCGCCCCACCCGCUCGAUCAGGUAGAGUGGCUGCUAGCCGCCCCGAGCAUGCGCACUACCCGCACUAGCAGGUAGUGUGGCUGAGCUGCCCCGCGCAUGCGCACUACCCGCACUAGCAGGUAGUGUGGGCUGAGAGCUGCCCUGCGCAUGCGCUCUCUAGCACUGCCGCGCCGCGUCUCUCUAUCUUAGCAACGCCGCACCGCGCAUCACCGUUCCACUCACACAUACACACACACGCACAAGCACGCACGUCCGGACGUAACAGACACACUACACUGCAAUCGGGACACACACCACACACUGAAAUCGCGAUUUCGCCCUCCCCGAGCCGCGCUAUCAGCUGGGGAGGUCCUCCCGCCGCCGGCCUCUCCCCCGAUGGCGGUCUGCUUGCAAGCCCCUAGGCAAACCUGCGCGCAAAAACAUCUUUUUGCGACUUAUCAGUGCCAACCUUAAGAAAAUAAAUUAAUACAUACCGCUUUCAUCCGCUAGUCGACGGGCCGUGGUAUGCUCCCCGCAGUGUACAGCCGAGGCGCAGAGUCCCUCCGGGGAAAAGCCCCGUGGCGCCUGAGGGUGUCUGCUCCCAACCGGACCUGCGGGUGAGCAGAGCAGUCCCUUCGUGGUCGCCAACUGAAACGAUACGCGGAAUAAAUCAAUAGACUCCAUAACCUGGGGUAGUUAUGAAGUGGGUAUGUACGUCAGCGCCCGGCACAAGUGAGAUAGCCCUCCAAAACUUGUGCCCCGAGCCUCAGUCUGACCCACACUUUUAUUCUUAAAGACGUUCCAUAUGCAAUACACUGCACGACUUUUUCAUGCGUAUUCAACCCCUGGCCCCGCCUGUCCUCGCUUCUCAUGCUAAAGCUGUCACAGAGCAGAAGAGCAGCUGAGAUGCUGAAAAGCAGCAAAGCUGAACAGCCUGCCUCAGCUUCAGCAGUGUGCAAUUGACUGAAGGCAAAACACGAAGCAGCAGAGCAGCGGGCUUCUGUGCGCACUGAAGGCAAUUGCAAGAAUCCAGCAGCUGCUCCUUGCCAAGCACAGUCAGCUGCCUAGGUUCUUGCUUCUUGACCAACUCCCAGUUGCCCUUCUUUUCAGCAGCUGCCACCGUGUUCUCUGCAUCUCGGAGCCUCUGGGGAGCAACAAGAAUUUCCAAGGUGGUGUAAGAGCCCGUCUGAAGCCCCUCAUUUUCCGUUCUGCCUUCCGAUUGCCACGAGAAAGAAUCCCUUCCUCCACUGCAGUUCCGGCUUAGAACAGGACACAGUGCAGUGAUUCAAAUGGACUUAUUCUUCAUUGGAUUCGUCUUGCUUUGGUGGUUUCUGUGGACUCUCCUGUUCCCGCGUGGCGAUUACAAUGGACUUUCGUUGUUACACUUGCUCCCCCCUCUUUCCUCUGUGGACUAUAACUGGAGCCCCGAGUCGACCAGAACUUCGGAGACUCCCCCGACACGACAGACGGAACCCCAUCGUCCGGACCACUGAGGAUCUCGCCUGUGUUGGUAGCUAUUCCCAUACCCCUCUUCUCUCUCUCUCUCUCCUUUUAUCUCCUUUCCGAUCCCCACUAUCGCAUUUACUGUUUUGGCCCUAAUAAAGGUGCAUUUGUUGUGAUUAA